ACAAGUUACCGAGCACAUCAGCACAGUUCUUCCAGCAAACUCCAGUGCUGGCACCACCCACCUCCAGUACAACUCUACUCUAUGCUAUUACUUACCAGUGCCCAGUGGAAGCUGAUCCCAGCAGCAUACAGCACUUAAUUGCUGUGAUUAGCCCUCCCUUCCUCCUCUGCUACACAGUCCCAGGCAGCAGUGACAGCACGGUGGUGAGAGGGGAGGUAAUGUAACUGCAGCAUGUCUUCUAAUUACUUCGACUCCGGCCACUGUAGUCACUGCUAAGGACUGUCCUGAGGAGCAAGAAGAGGACGCAGAUGGCUGACCGCCACUACAUAGACAGCUCUCAGCUGCAAGGAGAGACUGAGAAACAGGAGUGGGGCUAUGUGGAAGGUGUUGAGUGGGGUUUACUAUACCCAGAAGCUAAUGGACAAUACCAAUCUCCAAUCAACAUAAAUUCGAGAGAAGCUCUAUAUGAUCCUUCAUUGCUAGAAGUUCAGCUGUGCCCGAACUAUGUUGUCUGCCGUGAUUGUGAUGUAAUUAAUGAUGGUCAUGUAGUUCAAAUACUCCUAAAGUCAAAAUCAGUUUUAACUGGUGGUCCUCUGCCUCGAAGCCAUGAAUAUGAAUUGCAUGAAGCAAGAUUUCACUGGGGCAAAGAGAAUCAGCGUGGUUCCGAGCACACAGUCAACUUCAAGGCUUUCCCAAUGGAGCUCCACCUUAUCCAUUGGAACUCUACGUUAUACAGGAAUAUUGAGGAAGCUGUGGGACAAGUGCAUGGGAUUGCUAUAAUUGCUUUAUUUGUGCAGAUAGGAAAAGAACACGCAGCCCUAAAAGCCAUAACAGAUAUUCUUGAGGAUAUCCAGUAUAAAGGAAAAUCUAAAACUGUUCCUUGUUUUAACCCCAACACAUUAUUACCAGCUUCGGCUCCUGGGCAUUGUCACCCUGUUUGUCCCUUCCUUUCAGAUCCCCUUCUCCGUGACUACUGGGUAUAUGAAGGAUCUCUUACAAUGCCACCUUGCAGUGAAGGCGUUACGUGGAUAUUAUUCCGAUACCCUUUGACAGUGUCCCAAACUCAGAUUGAAGAAUUUAGACGAUUGAGGAUGCAUGUAAAAGGAGCCGAUCUUGAUGAUGAAAGUGAUGGAAUCCUGGCUGAUAAUUUUAGACCAACCCAACCUCUGAGCGACAGGAUUAUUCGAGCUGCCUUCCAAUAAUCAGUAGCAAGGAGGCCGGCACCACAAAAAAGGUGUUGGUCACAAAUGGUUACGGAGGAGACUGGUCCUUCUCAUGUUGGUAUGCGCCAUCACUCCCCAUACCACUACCAGUGUCUAUGGUACAGCCACCUGAAGUUAUGCGGGUGGCAUAUUCAGGGGAUGAGGAAGAGGAUGAGGUGACUUUCAUCCUAACACCCAUUGAUCCACCAGCACCCAUGCGGCAGCAACAACCACUGUCCAACCCAUCAAUCACUUCACUGCUCUCUGCCUCCAGUGUGGAAGAACUUGCAUUCUCCCUCCACAAUUUCAGGGAGCACCAAUAUGGUUUUAUGCUGCAUAAAACCAUAUUGGUGCUCCCUGAAAUUGUUUGACUAUAUUAUCAAGCAGUUGUGGAGCCUCAACCGAUCAACAGCAGUGGCACUGGAGGCCAACAUAAGCAUAGCCAACAAUGUAGACAUGUGGCUGCAGGAGCUGACUGCUGCAACACGUGAUCAAUUACAGGCCACCCGAGAUCAGACAGCGGCCACACUGUAUGUAAGCAGACAGCAGCUUUUAUUUUUUGGAGAUUUUGGUAAUUUUUUAUUUGAGAGUUAAGAACUUGCACCCUAUUGCAUUGGCCGAGUUGCAUGUACAAAAUGGGACAAACUUCUGGAUGCAAAUUUGUACUGUACGAGUUCUGAAACAUGCGAGUUUGCAUGGACUCACAUCCUAUUACAUUGGUCAAAUUUGUAAAAUGUGUGAGUUUAGCACUAAUCUCACACUUUUCCAAACUCGCACCCUAUUACAUCUCGCCAAUUAUGUUUUAAAUCUGUGCUGGAUGCAUACAUAAAUAA